UACGUAGGGGGCGAGCGUUGUCCGGAGUUACUGGGCGUAAAGGGCAUGCAGGCGGUCGGACGCGUUUCGGGUGACAGCGGGUGGCUUAACUACCCGAGUGGUCGAAAGACGGUUUGACUUGAGGACGCGAGAGGGACACGGAAUUCCGGGUGGAGUGGUGAAAUGCGUAGAGAGUCCGGAGGAACACCGAAGGCGAAGGCAGUGUCCUGGCGCGUAACUGACGCUGAGGAGCGAAAGCCAGGGGAGCAAAGCGGG
rnacentral:rRNA from 1 species